UCAUUAUAUAGGCUGAUAACCUCAUAGGAUA
rnacentral:piRNA from 1 species